AGUGAACGCUGGCGGCGUGCUUAAUACAUGCGAGUCGAACGAUGAAGUCCUAGCUUGCUAGGAUGGAUUAGUGGCGCACGGGUGAGUAAUAUAUAGUUAAUCUGCCUUGCACUGAGGAACAACAGUUGGAAACGAUUGCUAAUACCUCAUACUCCAACUUUACAUAAGUUAAGUUGGGAAAGUCUUUUCGGUGCAAGAUGAGACUAUAUCGUAUCAGCUAGUUGGUAAGGUAAUGGCUUACCAAGGCUAUGACGCGUAACUGGUCUGAGAGGAUGAUCAGUCACAUUGGAACUGAGACACGGUCCAAACUCCUACGGGAGGCAGCAGUAAGGAAUAUUGUGCAAUGGGGGAAACCCUGACGCAGCAACGCCGCGUGGAGGAUGACACUUUUCGGAGCGUAAACUCCUUUUGUUAGGGAAGAAUAAUGACGGUACCUAACGAAUAAGCACCGGCUAACUCCGUG
rnacentral:rRNA from 1 species